rnacentral:lncRNA from 1 species
GUCGGGCAGCGUGCUCGGCGGAGAAAACGCGCGCUCUAAUCCUCUCGACCAGAGGCUUUCCUCUGUCUCCGCCAAAAAACUCAAGCCCUCCGCAAGCCGGGAGGCUCCCGCGACAAGCGCGCCGUCCCCGGACCCGGUCGGACCGCGUGGCCGGGCUCGCAUUCCCGACGCGGCGGGACUGGAGGGCUGACAAACUGUUUUCGGUUUGCACACCCAGCCAUCCCCGCCGCGGAAUCUGCUCCAAGAAGAUGUCGUUAGGAAGUUACGGGCAGGACUGAUGCUUUGACCGCAGGAGGAUCCGGGCAAAGAUUUAUCUGGAAGUUUGUCUUGCACAACCCACUUCUGGAGUCCCGCGACACUCCAGACAAAAGGACGGGCUCUAAACCUAUCUCGAGAGUCCUCUGGACCUGCUGUUAGGACCCUAGUUCUCCUCACCUCGUCCAAAUGAACUCAGCAUUCGGAAACUUCUCGUCCCCACCUCCAUCCCCCACCCCGUUUUUGUCCUAAGCGGCACACCAGCGCAGCUCAGCCCGCUCCUGAAGACUUCGAAGCAGGAAACCCAGCAAUCUUCCAAGUGGCACCUUCCCUGCUGGCCUAGAUGAACCUAGAAAGCAAGCAACUUCAAUGAAUGCAAACUAAGCUUUCCCGAGGAGAAACGUCAAAGCAGCUACAAUCAGUCUCUGAUUACACAAACAUACCUAGGGGCAGGUUGGAGUAAGGAGGGCUUUAGGGGUGGGGGUUGCCUACCCAGAGGUGGCUUAAACCAGUUCUCCUAUUGUUACUGAGUUUAGGAAAGCUAGCUUUUGUUUCGUGGUGGAUUUUGGGGAUCAAACCCGAGAUGCCAGCUAAACAUCCCUGAAGUCUUUGUAAGAGAACCUAACCCAAAGUUAGGACUUCAGUUCCUUUAAAUUAAGAUACUGAGUUAUGCAUAAUUAACGAUUCCAGUAGAGAAACAAUGCAGAAUUAUUUUGAAAUAUUGUAAAAGGAGGGUCGACAUGUGCGUCUAUCUGCCCAGUUUUGCGAGAGCUAAAUGCCACUCACGGGCCCCCUCUACCAAACCGGGAAGAGUGGCGACAGCGGGACUCCUUAGGUCAUGUCUUGGGACCCAAAGGUUUCGGACUCCCUCCAACCAUCCUUUUGGAGGAAGGAGGCUUACAGCUCUAACUCCCUCCCCAGCAAACAAACCAGAGAGAACUGAGGCCCUAUCUUUCCUGGGCCCAUCUGGAGACACACGCCUAGAAAGCAAAGCUCUUUCCCGCCUACCUAGUAGGUAGCGGUUGACGAGUGAUUGUGCACAGUGUCCAGGAACUCCCAGGCUAAGGGACGUCCAGCUCUCGAGGUUUACAGGCAAGGGGGACCUGAAGUGGAGGGAGGUGCAUUGUUUCCACAUGGCGUUUAGGUGGUAACAGCCCAA